GUUUUAAUAGUUUAUCAAAAAUAUUGGUCUUGUAAACCAAAGAGAAGGCUCCUUUUAAAACU
rnacentral:tRNA from 1 species